GGGAGCCUGAGAAACGGUACCACAUCCACGGAAGGCAGCAGGCGCGCAAAAUUACCCAAUCCCGACACGGGAGGUAGUGACAAUAAAUAACAAUAUAGGGCCCUUUUGGGUCUUAUAAUUGGAAUGGGUACAAUUUAAAUCCCUUAACGAGGAACAAUUGGAGGGCAAGUCUGGUG
rnacentral:rRNA from 1 species